rnacentral:siRNA from 1 species
AGAGUUGAGUUUCUCGUAGGAGA